GGACAGCUGCAAGAAAAUUUCAAGUUAAAAUGGCACAUUUCUCUUCAUUGCUCAAAUGGCAAACACUCACCUUAAUACACUUUUUUCCCUCUACAUCAUAGUUAAUUUGAUAAUUUCAUUUUGAAUUUUUAGAUAAAGAAGCUACCAAUGACAGAGCUGCAACUGUUGACAGUCAUGAGACUGAAUUUGAUGCAAUGGUAAAAGCAGUCAGAAUGGAGCUGUAGGAGUGCUGUCAUACUACAGCAUUCAUCUUUCUACUGACAUUUGGAAAGAGCAGGGAUAGCCUUAGAGAAGACAGACAAUGCUUGUGAGAAUGUGUUUGGAGAUAUGUGGGUGAGUAUGAGAUGCUCCAAACUACAUUAAUCUCAAUAAUCUCUCCUAUCACUGCACUAAGGUUUUGCACAUAACUUGUCUAGUUUUAUUUCCAAGUCAUGCACAGUGCUUCCAAUUUGGGUGAAGAAAAUUACUGUGAUGUUAGACCGAGUGUAUGCCCCUCACCAUAACACUGAAUCCACCCAUGCUGCUAGUGACAGUUAAUUCCUAAGACAGGUGCCUUCUUUGUUUCUUUAAAAAAUAAGUCAUAAUGAAAAAGUUCUACAAAAAUUAAUUUGCAGAGUGAAAAUUUACAUACUGGAAGUGAUUCCAAGAAAUAAAUAAAAUUAGAAAACUAUAAAAUAUAGUAAAAAUACUUAACAUGAUCAAGUGAUGGUGGAAUGGUUUUAACAUCAGAAUGAUUGCCUUUGUUGGAGAGAGAGAGAGAGAGAGAGAGAGAGAGAGAGAGAGAGAGAGAGAGAGAGAGAGAGAGAGAGAGAGAGAGAGAGAGAGAGAGAGAGAGAGAGAGAGAGAGA